CGAAAGCCUGACGGAGCAAGACCGCGUGAGGGAGGAAGGCUCUUGGGUUGUAAACCUCUUUUCUCAGGGAAGAAGCUCUGACGGUACCUGAGGAAUCAGCCUCGGCUAACUCCGUGCCAGCAGCCGCGGUAAUACGGAGGAGGCAAGCGUUAUCCGGAAUUAUUGGGCGUAAAGCGUCCGCAGGUGGCAAUUCAAGUCUGCUGUCAAAGACUGGGGCUUAACUCCGGGCAGGCAGUGGAAACUGACAGGCUAGAGUGCAGGAGGGGUAGAGGGAAUUCCCGGUGUAGCGGUGAAAUGCGUAGAUAUCGGGAAGAACAUCGGUGGCGAAGGCGCUCUACUGGACUGCAACUGACACUCAGGGACGAAAGCUAGGGGAGCG
rnacentral:rRNA from 1 species